rnacentral:rRNA from 1 species
CACGUAGGGGGCAAGCGUUGUCCGGAUUCAUUGGGCGUAAAGAGCUCGUAGGCGGUUCGAUAAGUCGGGUGUGAAACCUCCAGGCUCAACCUGGAGACGCCACCCGAUACUGUCGUGACUAGAGUCCAGUAGGGGAGCGUGGAAUUCCUGGUGUAGCGGUGAAAUGCGCAGAUAUCAGGAGGAACACCAGCGGCGAAGGCGGCGCUCUGGGCUGGCACUGACGCUGAGACGCGAAAGCGUGGGGAGCAAACAGG